rnacentral:rRNA from 1 species
AUACGUAGGUGACAAGCGUUAUCCGGAUUUACUGGGCGUAAAGGGCGUGUAGGCGGUCUUGCAAGUCAGAAGUGAAAUUCCUGAGCUCAACUCGGGCGCUGCUUCUGAAACUGCAGGACUUGAGUGCUGGAGGGGAUAGCGGAAUUCCUAGUGGAGCGGUAAAAUGCGCAGAUAUUAGGAAGAACACCGGUGGCGAAGGCGGCUAUCUGGACAGUACCUGACGCUGAGGCGCGAAAGCGUGGGGAGCAAAAAGGAUUAGAUACCCUGGUGGUCCACGCCGUAAACGAUGAAUACUAGGUGUAGGGGGUAUCGACUCCCUCUGUGCCGCAGUUAACACAAUAAGUAUUCCGCCUGGGGAGUACGGCCGCAAGGUUGAAACUCAAAGGAAUUGACGGGG